GAUGAACGCUGGCGGCGUGCCUAAUACAUGCAAGUCGAGCGAACAGACGAGGAGCUUGCUCCUCUGACGUUAGCGGCGGACGGGUGAGUAACACGUGGAUAACCUACCUAUAAGACUGGGAUAACUUCGGGAAACCGGAGCUAAUACCGGAUAAUAUAUUGAACCGCAUGGUUCAAUAGUGAAAGACGGUUUUGCUGUCACUUAUAGAUGGAUCCGCGCCGCAUUAGCUAGUUGGUAAGGUAACGGCUUACCAAGGCAACGAUGCGUAGCCGACCUGAGAGGGUGAUCGGCCACACUGGAACUGAGACACGGUCCAGACUCCUACGGGAGGCAGCGGUAGGGAAUCGUGCGCAAUGGGCGAAAGCCUGACGGAGCGACGCCGCGUGAGUGAUGAAGGUCUUCGGAUCGUAAAACUCUGUUAUUAGGGAAGAACAAAUGUGUAAGUAACGAUGCACGUCGUGACGGUACCUAAUCAGAAAGCCACGGCUAACUACGUG
rnacentral:rRNA from 1 species